rnacentral:rRNA from 1 species
AUACGUAGGGGGCGAGCGUUGUCCGGAAUGAUUGGGCGUAAAGGGCGCGUAGGCGGCCCGGUAAGUCUGGAGUGAAAGUCCUGUUUUUAAGAUGGGAAUUGCUUUGGAUACUGUCGGGCUUGAGUGCAGGAGAGGUAAGUGGAAUUCCCAGUGUAGCGGUGAAAUGCGUAGAGAUUGGGAGGAACACCAGUGGCGAAGGCGACUGACUGGACUGUAACUGACGCUGAGGCGCGAAAGUGUGGGGAGCAAACAGGAUUAGAUACCCUGGUAGUCCACACUGUAAACGAUGAAUGCUAGGUGUAGGGGGUAUCGACCCCUUCUGUGCCGCAGUCAACACAAUAAGCAUUCCGCCUGGGGAGUACGGCCGCAAGGUUGAAACUCAAAGGAAUUGACGGGG